rnacentral:lncRNA from 1 species
CUCUGCAAUCCUAUAAGAUAUAUGGUUUUUAUUAUUCUUAAUUAUUCUAUAAUAUUAGAAUAUGUUAUAAUUGUCUAUCAUAAAGUGGUUAACUAAAUAUGUAACGGCCCAAACACUAAUAUAGUUUAGGUGUUAGGCAUAUAAAAAUCCCUCCUAUAUAAUUUCAUAUCAAUGACUAGCUUGUAGUUACAAACCAAACCUCCUAUCUCUAGGCUCGGGCCUUAGCUAGUUUGCAAUAUUAACCAACUCUCGUGCAACACCAAAUUCUGAGGUUACAAGAGAGAAGAAUAAUAUAUAUUUCUUGACUUUGGCCGAAAAUUUGAGUUCUUGAAAGCAACCUAUAGCCACAAGCUAAAAUUAAUAAGUUUGAGUAGACCACAAUUAUAUAUUCUUUGCUUGUUCGUUUGUUUAAGGCUAUGCCAUGUAGUUAGCACUUGGCACCUACUCCAUAUUAAAAACAAAUAACUCUACACGACCACUCUCUUUUGUUGGUUCAUUUGUGGUCUAAUGCAGUUAAGUUUGCUGUAAUUAGGUGAAUUCCAGCUACCUUCUUUUGUCUCCACAUGCUUUCUUUUCAUCCCUUACGUGCAGAGACAAAACUUCAUGUGCUGAAUAGAGUCAUUUGCAUGCAAUCCGGUGGAAAAGCAAUCAAUUGUUGAGUGAGUUCAUGAAUGAUAAUAAAUAGUUAAUUAUCACCAUAGAUCUUGCUUGUAACUUUUUUCUUUCAACUAUGUUGGUGUUUGUUGUUUCUUUUGAAUAUGUUUUGUUGUUUUGAGAAUGAGUUAGAAAUAUUUUGUCUUUCUUGAUUCUUUUAUGUAUUGUAGUUAGGUAUUUAGUGCCUUUUAUUUUAAUAUAUUCUAUUUGUUAGAAACUUAGAAUACUAUUAUACUUGUCGACAAAGUUAAUGAAUACUACUCCAUAUAAUAGUUAGAACUGUUUUUUUUUUUAAUUAAUUUUAUCAAUUGGUGUGUUCACAGUUGAAAAAAAUGAUUACUUCUACAUUAAAAUAGUCAAAUGAUAUUUUGAAAUUAUUUAUUUC